GGGCUUGUAGCUCACCCUGGUAGAGCGCACCGUUCGCAACGGUGAGGCCGCGGGUUCAAAUCCCGCCAAGUCCA
rnacentral:tRNA from 1 species